GGAUAAUGACCUACCUUCGAACAUCAGUGUCUAUCGUCCAACAGCGCCCUCAUCAGUCAUAUGCAGUAGCUGCUCUUAUCUGGUCCUCAUUGAAGACUUGACUUUUUAUCAAGUCCAAGACAGGAUCACACAGCUUCCAACUGGAAACCGAACCGGGACUGCACAUAGCAUGACACUUGUGCUAACACUUCUAGCUUUCUAUCCAACCAGCUUCAUCGCAUGGUAGCUUGGAGGAGCCGGAUCCAACUGUUUCGUUCAACCUUCCAAGCUAGGCCCUCAGAGACAAGAAGUUUGGCAACUGUUAGGCGUUGCAGAAAGGAUAUUAAUUAUUUUGUG
rnacentral:lncRNA from 1 species